rnacentral:rRNA from 1 species
UUAAAGGCUGUGGNUUAACCAUAGUACGCUUUGGAAACUGUUUAACUUGAGUGCAGAAGGGGAGAGUGGAAUUCCAUGUGUAGCGGUGAAAUGCGUAGAUAUAUGGAGGAACACCGGUGGCGAAAGCGGCUCUCUGGUCUGUAACUGACGCUGAGGCUCGAAAGCGUGGGGAGCGAACAGGAUUAGAUACCCUGGUAGUNCACGCCGUAAACGAUGAGUGCUAGGUGUUAGGCCCUUUCCGGGGCUUAGUGCCGCAGCUAACGCAUUAAGCACUCCGCCUGGGGAGUACGACCGCAAGGUUGAAACUCAAAGGAAUUGACGGGGGCCCGCACAAGCGGUGGAGCAUGUGGUUUAAUUCGAAGCAACGCGAAGAACCUUACCAGGUCUUGACAUCCCGAUGCCCGCUCUAGAGAUAGAGUUUUACUUCGGUACAUCGGUGACAGGUGGUGCAUGGUUGUCGUCAGCUCGUGUCGUGAGAUGUUGGGUUAAGUCCCGCAACGAGCACAACCCUUAUUGUUAGUUGCCAUCAUUCAGUUGGGCACUCUAGCGAGACUGCCGGUAAUAAACCGGAGGGAGGUGGGGAUGACGUCAAAUCAUCAUGACCCUUAUGACCUGGGCUACACACGUGCUACAAUGGCUGGUACAACGAGUCGCAAGUCGGUGACGGCAAGCUAAUCUCUUAAAGCCAGUCUCAGUUCGGAUUGUAGGCUGCAACUCGCCUACAUGAAGUCGGAAUCGCUAGUAAUCGCGGAUCAGCACGCCGCGGUGAAUACGUUCCCGGGCCUUGUACACACCGCCCGUCACACCACGAGAGUUUGUAACACCCGAAGUCGGUGAGGUAACCUUUUAGGAGC